rnacentral:rRNA from 1 species
UACGAAGGGGGCAAGCGUUGUUCGGAAUUACUGGGCGUAAAGGGCGCGUAGGCGGCCGACCAAGUCGGGUGUGAAAUCCCUCGGCUCAACCGAGGAACUGCACUCGAUACUGGUUGGCUCGAGUCCGGGAGGGGAUGGUGGAAUUCCCAGUGUAGCGGUGAAAUGCGUAGAUAUUGGGAAGAACACCGGUGGCGAAGGCGACCAUCUGGACCGGAACUGACGCUGAGGCGCGAAAGCCAGGGGAGCGAAUGGG